rnacentral:rRNA from 1 species
CGGGACACGUGGUAUCCUGUCUGAAUAUGGGGGGACCAUCCUCCAAGGCUAAAUACUCCUGACUGACCGAUAGUGAACCAGUACCGUGAGGGAAAGGCGAAAAGAACCCCGGCGAGGGGAGUGAAAAAGAACCUGAAACCGUGUACGUACAAGCAGUGGGAGCCUCUUAAUGGGGUGACUGCGUACCUUUUGUAUAAUGGGUCAGCGACUUAUAUUCUGUAGCAAGGUUAACCGAAUAGGGGAGCCGAAGGGAAACCGAGUCUUAACUGGGCGUUAAGUUGCAGGGUAUAGACCCGAAACCCGGUGAUCUAGCCAUGGGCAGGUUGAAGGUUGGGUAACACUAACUGGAGGACCGAACCGACUAAUGUUGAAAAAUUAGCGGAUGACUUGUGGCUGGGGGUGAAAGGCCAAUCAAACCGGGAGAUAGCUGGUUCUCCCCGAAAGCUAUUUAGGUAGCGCCUCGUGAAUUCAUCUCCGGGGGUAGAGCACUGUUUCGGCAAGGGGGUCAUCCCGACUUACCAACCCGAUGCAAACUGCGAAUACCGGAGAAUGUUAUCACGGGAGACACACGGCGGGUGCUAACGUCCGU